GAAGGCGUGCAGGCCCGACUGCGGGAAGAGUGUUGAAAAUAGGCUCUGUAAGGAGAUGAAAGUAGAAGGAGCUUUAGAGCAAGUGAUCACCAUUCAGCAACCCCACGUGUGGAAAAUGCUAACGCGUGUGGAGGGCUGAUGUGCAGGGAGUGCUUGGAACAUAGGCCAAGUCUCUAAGAUAGAAACCAGGGAAAGCUGUUAGGGGCCUGGAGCUGCCAGAGAAGAAACCUCAGAGUGCGAAUCUGUGAAUCCUGUAACUGCAGCAGAAACGAGCAAGCUUCCACUUGGAAAUCUCCAGGCACCAGGAAAUACUGCGUUACUUCUCACCCACCACGUGGGAGCUGGAAGAGAUGGCUCAGUGGCUAAGAUGGCUGCCCCUGAAGACCUACCUAAUUCAGUUCCCAGCACCUACACGGCAGUGCACAAGCAUCUAUAGUUCCAAGAUCUCAGGAUCUGAAAUGCCCUCCAGAGAGCUUCUACUUGUUUACUCUUGUCCAAUAUGACAAGCUGGAGGAAUUCUAGGGGCUGGAACAGAACAUGAAGACAUCACUGGAGCUGGUUUCUCUUUUGUCAUGAUGAGUGGUGAUGUUCUUGCCUUGAACUGGCUGUCAAGUGGCUUUAAUUGAGGAUGAUAAGAACUUCGGUCUAAUUUGUU
rnacentral:lncRNA from 1 species